rnacentral:rRNA from 1 species
GAUUGAACGUGCUUGCACGGACUUGACGUUGGUUUACCAGCGAGUGGCGGACGGGUGAGUAACACGUAGGUAACCUGCCCCAAAGCGGGGGAUAACAUUUGGAAACAGAUGCUAAUACCGCAUAACAAUUUGAAUCGCAUGAUUCAAAUUUAAAAGAUGGCUUCGGCUAUCACUUUGGGAUGGACCUGCGGCGCAUUAGCUUGUUGGUAGGGUAACGGCCUACCAAGGCUGUGAUGCGUAGCCGAGUUGAGAGACUGAUCGGCCACAAUGGAACUGAGACACGGUCCAUACUCCUACGGGAGGCAGCAGUAGGGAAUCUUCCACAAUGGGCGCAAGCCUGAUGGAGCAACACCGCGUGAGUGAAGAAGGGUUUCGGCUCGUAAAGCUCUGUUGUUAGAGAAGAACGUGCGUGAGAGCAACUGUUCACGCAGUGACGGUAUCUAACCAGAAAGUCACGGCUAACUACGUGCCAGCAGCCGCGGUAAUACGUAGGUGGCAAGCGUUAUCCGGAUUUAUUGGGCGUAAAGCGAGCGCAGGCGGUUUGAUAAGUCUGAUGUGAAAGCCUUUGGCUUAACCAAAGAAGUGCAUCGGAAACUGUCAGACUUGAGUGCAGAAGAGGACAGUGGA